AUCCAGCUGAUGAGUCCCAAAUAAGAGGAAACGCACUUCCUGGAU
rnacentral:hammerhead_ribozyme from 1 species